rnacentral:rRNA from 1 species
CUGCACGGCUGUCGUCAGCUCGUGUUGUGAAAUGUUGGGUUAAGUCCCGCAACGAGCGCAACCCCUAUUGAUAGUUACCAUCAUUAAGUUGGGUACUCUAUUAAGACUGCCGCUGACAAGGCGGAGGAAGGUGGGGACGACGUCAAGUCAUCAUGGCCCUUACGACCAGGGCUACACACGUGCUACAAUGGGUAUUACAGAGGGCUGCGAAGGUGCGAGCUGGAGCGAAACUCAAAAAGGUACUCUUAGUCCGGAUUGCAGUCUGCAACUCGACUGCAUGAAGUCGGAAUCGCUAGUAAUCGCAGGUCAGAAUACUGCGGUGAAUACGUUCCCGGGUCUUGUACACACCGCCCGUCACACCAUGGGAGUGGGUUGCUCCAGAAGUAGAUAGCUUAACGAAUGGGCGUUUACCACGGAGUGAUUCAUGACUGGGGUGAAGUCGUAACAAGGUAGCCGUAGGGGAACCUGCGGCUGGAUCACCUCCUUAA